rnacentral:lncRNA from 1 species
CCCAGUAUUAUGGAUUAUUGUUGAGUAUACCUUAGAAGUGCAUAAAAUACCCCUUAUAUUGUUUUUAUCUAUUGCAUUUUACACUUCUGCUAAUUCUUAUUUAUUUGUCCAUUUGUGCUAUAUGCAAGUAGUAUGCUUGAAAUUAAACAUGCUUUUAUCUUGUUUCAUGCCACUUGAGGAAGUUUGUAGGUUACUCCCGGAUGUGAGUCAAGGUAAGAUUUCCAAGUAGCUAUCACAUAAGACAUUAUUCUCUGUUUGGUAACAAGUCUCUUAUGUUCUUGUACCAUUCUUCUUAUUCCUUUUGGCAACCUUUUUGGUUGCUAAUGUGCUCAUGCCAAGAACUCAAAAUAGUGAGUUAGAUUAUAAUGGUAUAAUAUUUUUUUUUUGCUGUUUAUCGACAUUUACUUUACUAACAUGAUAUACAUUUAAUUCGGACAAUUUUUGAAGUAUAUCAUGAUUUAUGGCUUCAAGCCUUCAACUUCAAGCACACUUUUAGAUGAGGACUUAUAGAUGACUAUUAAAACAUGCAUUGUACUGUCAGUUUAAUUUUGUUCAUGGAUAUUGUGAGUGUCCACUAUCACGAGUAGAAUAUACUUUCUAGUUAAUUAGCUUCUAAUGAGUUCAUAUGGUCAAUAUGCAACAUCAAACGGUUAUAUUAUAAUUAGCUGAAUCCCUGAAUAUGCCAAAUUACUAGGGAUCCAAGAGUACCUUCUGAUCAAACUUAUCAUAUUCGAAGUACAACAGAAAGCUCAAAUUUAUGUUCAGCACAAUAGGAGAAGUAAAAUGCAUUGUCUGGUUCACUUAUAGAAGAUCCCAAAAGCAGCCAUGUUUAUCUGGUAAACUGCUGGUGAGCAGCACCAAAAAUGUAUCUUCUGUGGAAUACAUGCGGUGGUACUGGUACCCUUCCACCUGCUGUUAUCAUCCGUGGAUGUUACUGCUGGUUCAUUUAGAUAUGCACAACUGCCUUUUCGCCACCUGUAAACAAUAAGGAAUGCCAAUGUGUGUCUAUACAUUUGUAGGACGAAAUAUAUUUGCAACCCAGUUAGUAUGUACUUCCAAGGUUUCUUUUUAGUUACCACUUUUUGUGUAUUGGUAUGAUAAUUUUAGUUUUAGUCUUAUUUGCAGAACGGAGGACUUCAAACCUUGAUAAAGGCAGCAACCACAGAGCAAAAUUGGAGUAAGGUUCGUAGAAUAUGGUGCUCUAUCCUACAUUCUUAUAUAUUUGGUACAGGGCAUUCAACUGGUGGAUUCUAUUGAGUAGGAUAUAUUGCUUUGCAUCCAGCUCAUGCAAAAAUGGGGAGACAUUGUAUAGGUGUGUGAUCCACAUCCAGGUCAACAGUAGAACACAGAAAGGAAUAAUGGACAGCAUCAGGAGACGGGAGCGUACCAAUCCUUGAUGCCAAUUCGUAUCUCAGAGUUCCUGGUGACAGUUGCAUCCUGUUUGCUGUUCUUGGUAAUCUCUCCCUCCAUCAUCUUAUCUGUCUCCUUUUUCUCAUUGAUAAUCCCGUCUAUCCUUUUUUCAAAAAUCAUGUAUUCUUCUUGCUGUUUCAUAUUAUACAAUAGAAAAGUAAAGGGCAAGGGUAUCAAAAUGAUUCUGUUGUAAAAUGAUCUAUUUAUGUACUUGUAAAGUACUCCAGUUUAUAGUACUUAAGUGGGUAUGUUUUUGGUAGAUAAUGGUAACAAAUGGGAUAAUCAGUUUAUUACGCCGAUUGUCUUUCACCGACCGAAAAAAAACCUUGCCUUGAGAGUCUUGAUUUCCUUGCAGCCUCCUUCUCGUCAGCGAGCUGGCGCUCCUCUUCCAGCUUCCUUUUUCUUGAACACGCCGUUAAAAAGAAAGCGCAAGUACAGGCAACAACAAAAACCCCAGCAGGGGCCAAAAGAAAAGCAAAGAAAACAGAAAAAGAAGAAACGAAGAAGAAGAGGAAAAAACGCCUUUGGCAACUAUAUACAAGGAGAUGAGAUAGUCGAUCUCUGCCCAGGUGAUGCUCUGCACUUCAUGUGCUAUCCUUCUCGGACGGACCCAAUGACCAUGAGGCUGAUACAGUGGAGACCGUGGAGCGCUCGGCACCUUCUUCACUGCGCACUGUUUGAUCGUCUUCUCCAUCUCUCUAGAGCUUACCUCAACGCUUACCGUUACAAUGAAUAUGUAAGGUCUAUGAACUCUUCUCAACCAUUGGUCUUGAACCUCUACCGGUAAUAAAUAGCUCGUUGCGGCUAGUAAAAAAAAAACAUUGGUCUUGAGCAUCUUUUGUUACUCUGGGACUUGGAGUCGCCAGUGGAGAGGUCAUUAAGUAUCCCUCUGAUUCUAAAUUCUUGACUUAAAUUUGUCCAAAUAUGGAUGUAUCUAUUCUUAAGAAACGUCUAGAUACAUGUAAUAUUUUCACAAUGCAUUUCUGCAAGGAAAAGGGCACUGGAAUUGUUUCGUGUUGACAUGGAAAACCUCUGGCUGCACCAACCGCUGUAUAUGCAUUCUCCAACUUUCAGCUUCUCGUUUAAAUAAGUUGCUAGUGGAGAUGUACAUGUACGUACCGUUCGGGGCACUCUGAACUCUAUCACCUAAUGAUGUCGUCUGAGUUUGGAUUAUGAAUAUAUAAUUCCUUCCCAUUCAAGAAAAAAGAAUAUGUAGUUCCUUGGCCUCGUAACCUAGGAUAUAAGGCUGCUCUGGUGUUGGAAUAUUAUAGCAGCUCCCUCCGUUAACCUGUAUAGACUCAGAAACUCCGCUCCAGUAUGCACAAGACCCCUCUUUAAAUUUGAGCGUACCCCUAUACUGCUGGGUAGAGCGAACAGUAUAUAAUCAUCCGCCGUUCAUUUCUUAAAGGGUAAUAUAGAUAUUUCUCGUUUAAAAGAAUUAGCAGUUAAUGAUUUUUCUUUUUAAUUCGUAGAGGCCGGGCAUUCCUGAUGGGCUUCAGCCCAUUUCCUCCGUUCGUUUGGCCUCUACGGUUGUCGCCCUCUAGCCGCUGCCCUCCGCCUUCCUCGAUCGCGACCUCACCGGCGAGCUGCUCGUCGUCUUCUGGCCGCCGUAACAGCCCUUGUCGACCUCGCCGGUGAGCCGCUCGUCCGCCUCGCCAUGGCCGCCAGCCCCAGCCACCCUCGAGGCCUCGAGCCCUCGACCUCGCCGGCAAGCCCCUCUUCUCGCUCGUCUUCUUGCAGGCUAGCUAGCGGUCUCUGCACCUCCUCGGCUACUCGUCCUCCCACACCAUCUUGCUGCCCUUGGAGCAGGGACGCCACGCGAAUUCGGGCACACGGCCGGGAUGUCGACGUCGAACGCCCAGGAGGCGAUGGAUGACAUGACCGGCUCAUCAGGUUCCAGAACGCGCGGUGGUGACCGGGCUGGUCGGCGACGGCCGGACUCUAGCGGGCAUGCGUGCAGCGGCGGCUGUACGCGAGCGACGAGCCGACGAAUAGCAGCGGGAACGAAACGUGACCCCGUGUGGGCCGUGCGGGAGGCCGGGAGCGGGGCCUGCUGGGCUGAAAAGUUAUGAUGUUCCGAAACUACCCUCGAAAGGAUCUAUACUGCUCGCUUGAUCCAGCAGUACAUUGCUCUGCGGACCGCCGGAUCUCCACGAACGGACGGCCUGUAUUGAUUACAGGGUACCGUAUGAGAGCCCUUAAAUUUAGUUCAUAAAAGUCAGCUUCUCCUCCGGAGAUGAAUUAACCCCGGCGCUGCUAUACGUACGUCGCGUACGACGCUGUGUGGCGUCCAUAUUAAUCUCCUUUUCGUCUGUUUCCCGUUCCCGUACCAAGCCCAUGACGAAUUUAAGCCCAAGCCCAGGACGAAUCUAAGGUACCUUGCGCGUGUGAGGCUAGGCUCUGUUCCCCUUCGGACCAACCCUGGCACUCAAUCUCUGACCAAGAUCUGUUUGUGCUGGAUUACGUUCAGUCAUAUAUAUAUUGAACUAGAAAACAUAGUGCAGUGCCAUGUAGCAUACAUGCUAAUGUCAGUCAUAUAAAACAACGGUUACAUUAAUAAAAAUAAAUUAGCAUCCAGUGCUAUCAAUCAGGCUGUCCAAUCCAUUUAGAAGUACUUUGGAGCAUGCAUUCUCUCAGUCGUUCAAGGUAGCAGAUAGAAGAUCCAAUACAUCUUUCUUUCCCUUAAAAAUUUAAAUGACAUAAUUAGCCAUCAAUAAAACCUUUCUAUCAACUAUAAAUAACUAAUAGCAUAAGUGUAGCACCUGGAGAAUAUCAAUGUAAGAAUUGAUCUGAAUUAGUGUAGCAGGUUCAUUUGUUUGGAGUACCUGAAACAAGCAGCAAUGCUUGAGUAUAGCAUAUAUUAGUAUAGUAAUGUAUAAUUGCAACUGCUCAAAUCAAAGUACCUGAAACUCAUUUGGAAAGAAACAAGCACUUUGAGCCUCAUAUCCUUCACAGAGAGUAUUUCCCUAACGAAAAAGGUUUGUUCAUAAAAUGAAAUGUGCCCAAACAAUUUAGUUGCUACAUCUGAAUGAAAUAUCACCUUUGUUUGCUGUGAACUCCCGAGAUUAUUGUCUUUCCCAUUUUUAGAUUUCUUGCCGCACUUUUGCUAUAAGAUAGUUCUUCACUUUAGCAUGUUAUAACAUCAAGAAAUAAUAUAACAAAAAAAAAAUUAAACUUUUUGGUACCUACUGCUUCUUCGCUCUCAAUCGUUUGACCACUUGAUCUACUUUAGAUUCCUUUCUCUUUGAACGAGGGCGACCUACGCUGUGAGCAGAGAUUGGGCUGAGUACGAUUUUUUCCUUGUUUGACAUUGUUUCUUCAUGCUUCUUAGUUUGAUCCUCCUCCUGUACUUCCUGGCUAGCACGGUGUGCAUCAAUCUUUAUUUGCAACUGACCAAGACCAUCCAUCACCAAUGCAUACAAUGCAUCCGACUCUGCCCCAUUCUCCGCCACUUCACGGGAAUGCUUGCACAGAUUAUCAUAGCGUUGCACAAGCGGUGUAUUCAACAUAUCAUCGUAGGAGCAUUUAAUAAAUGUGUGUUUGCGCUUAAAAUCCUUUCGCCAUCGCUGCAAUAUAUACCUAGAAGGUACUUCUGUGAUCUCCAUGAGAGCAAGAACAGAAAGGAUGUGGCUACACAAGAUGCCUCGAAAUUCAAAAAGCCUACAAGCACACUGCACAUCACAUUCCCCUUGGUCGAACAAGACAGUGAACUCUGAGAUAAUCCUUUUGUCUUUAAUCUCACCAUCCUCUCCUUCAAAAAAAAUCUUGCGGUCCUCUCUGACUCUAAAUGUAAAAAGUGACCCUUCUUUGUUCACUUGGGUUGGAUAGCAAUAGAUUUUACCUCUCAAUUGCUCUUGAAACUCUUUAAAUUUUGCAUUGGUAUAUGUUUCCUGAAAUUGCCUCUCGAAGUCGUAGUGAGUAAUGCAUGGAAUGACCUCUUGGAACGACUUAGAAUCAGCCUUGUUUUCUUUCUCCACCUUGUCCCUUAGUGCAUUCUCGUACUGCUCCACAAAUUGCUUCAGAGUUGUUCUAGCAUUGACAUAGCCAUCGAAGAAAGCAUUCACACUCUCACUCCUUUGUCUUGAAGACAUUCCUGCCCAAAAAGUAUCUUUUACAUACGCCGGUACCCAUCGAUAUUUAUUGCCAUAUAAACUAGCAAGCCAUUCAUUGUCAUGAAGCUCAUAUUUCUUGAUCAUCUUCAGCCAAGCUUCAUCAAAAUCAUGCUUGGUCAAGGAAUCAUAUACCGCAUUUGACAUCGUAUAUUUAAUGUUCUCAUACUUUUCAUACCCACUAAGCUUUUCAAGAAUCUUUUUCAUGAUAUGCCAUAUACACCAUCUAUGACGAGCUUGAGGGAAAACUUCUUCAAUAGCAUUCUGCAUUGCUUUGCACUGGUCUGUGAUUAUAGCAUUAGGUGCUUUGUUUGACAUACAACAUAACCAAGAUUUAAAUAACCAAAUAAAAGUCUCAGUGUCUUCAUUAGACAAAAGACCACAACCUAAUAGAACUGAUUCUCCAUGAUGAUUUACGCCAACAAAAGGAGCAAACGGCAUGCUAUAUUUGUUUGUCAAGUAUGUGGUGUCAAAUGUGAUGACAUCCCAAUAAGGUUCAUAUGUAGCCCUGCUUCUUGCAUCUGCCCAAAAGACAUUUCUCAGUCGUCCAUCCUCAACCACAUCCAUAACAUGGAAAAAGUCUGGAUCUUUUGAUUGCAUAUGGAGAAAAUAUUGAUAAACAGCAUGUGCAUCUCCGGCACCAAGCUUCAGCCUUCUCUUCUCUUGCAAAUAGUUCCUGCACUCCUUUUCACCAAAUUCGAGUUGUUCAUAGCCGCCAGCUUCCAUAACAAGAGAACCAAAAUUCUUAUUCAUACGGAUUCCUGCUUGAUCAUUCAGUUCUAGCAUUCUCUUGGCAUGCAAGUCCAGUUUCUUAUGAGACCUUAGAAAUCUGGAUUUGCUUGGACUUGUAGGAUGAUUGUGGUCAAGCGUAACCGAAGUAAUGCAGAACUUUUCUCCACGACAAGCAAAAUUAACCUUUGCUGGACAUUGCAUCCUUGUCAAUGGAUUAGGAUUAUACGAGUUUUUUGAUGAGUACUGAGCCUUCCCUUGUCUACUACAAGCAAGAGUAAAAUAAUUAAGCUUUCUGUCAUCACCGUGUCUAGCAGUUCUUCUUACUACACCAAAGCCCUUUGUUUUGGCAUAACCUUUGUAGAACCUAACGGCAUCAUCCUCGCUAUCGAACAUAAUCCCCUUCUUAGGUUGGCCAUCCAAAGAAUCCCCAAUCUCUUCCAGGAUAAAAGCAUCUUCAUCAUCUUCGUGAAAUACUCCAUUGUGUUGAUCUGCUACUUCAUCCGAAGGCAAAUUUGACUCCAUAACCUACCUAAAUUUGCCAAUAAAAAGAUCAAAGAUGCUGCUAGCCGAAUCCUAUAAAAGUAUGAACUUUUAUAGAUUGGAUCAAAAUAAUGCAAAAAAAAUUAGGGUAUCUGUUAGGACACAAACAUACCUCGUUUUGUUUGAUCUUUCGAUCUGACUUCUCUGUAGUGCUGCAGAUUGAUAUGCAGAUCAGCAAGAGAUGGAUUGUGAAGAUGGACCACCAUGUUUUGGAGGGAAGAGGAGGAGGCGUGAAAGUUGUGGAUGGGAGAUCAGGAGUCGUGGAGAAAUUUCUGUUCGGCUUCUGAUGCCGAUUUUGGUGGGGGCAAAGAGGCUGUUUGGGCUUUGGAUGUGGGCUGGGCCUCGGCAUGGUAAGCCUAGCAGCGCACGAAGCCGACGUCGUACAGGUAUCGGACAAAAUUCGUCGUACGUGCAGCAAUUUCGAAUUAACCCAUUUUACACCUCGUUUCUCGCUUAUUUUUAAUGCUCAUGUUGCAUGCUCAAACUCAACAAUCAAAGGGACCUAUGCCAUUGUAUCAGAAAUAUUUAUAUAAUCAUAAUUUCAGAAACAUUUGGCCAAACCAUCACAUUCAAUUUCUAGGGGAAAAGAAUCUAAAGAUCACAUACUAAAGAAUCUAAAGAUCACAUACUAGAGCACGACGCCUUCCAUCUUCCACCUCUGCCUCUAGCCUAGGGUUGAAAACAGAGCAAAAACGGAUGGAACCGAGUGCUAUUACAUUUUUUUCUUCAAAAAAAAAUGAUAUGGAAACCCCAAAAGGCGAAUACAAAAGCAGAUAUUGUUGGAAAUAGAUAUUAAGAGAACAUUUUUUAGCUUGAAUCUUCUAUAUCUUUUUUUUAGGGAAUUGAAUCUUCUAUAUCUUUUUUUAGGGAAUUGAAUCUUCUAUAUCUAAAUAGGAGCCCCUGCUACCUAUUUUUGUCAACAUGCAAACAUGCCAUCACUGCAUCACAUUUUUAUGCAAACCAUGACCCACCAAUGCUGACUUGUACCAAUGAAACAAACAAUAAGUUCUACGGGCAUAAUAACACUGGCCGGUGACGAGUGUGGCUGCAUGCUUUGCACCUUUAACAGAAGUAACACACCUAGCUCAGGAAUCCUAUUUAGGUGAUCAACCAAAAUGCUAUACCGCAUAUCACACUAGUAACACUUGAACUGAACUAGUGUCCAUUUAGGUGAGCUACAACCUAUGAAUUUAGUAUAACAACAUUGGCACUAGAUUGGCUGGUUAGACUGAAAGAAUGGCAUGGAAGGACAGGUAACACCGCAACGUGAAGUUCAGAACCAUGGAACAUGGUAAAAGCAUGCGUUCUUAGAGCUGAUGAGCGCAAGUCACUCGUUCGCAUAAGUAAACUGAAAUCUGAAGCAUAUCUUACCUUAUAGGAGUAUCUAACAAAUCACAUAAGUUGAUGCUCAAAAUGAACCGAAAAAAGAAGAAGACAUGUAUCAUGUAUGGAAGGGCAAAAGACAAACAGAAGGGUGCAUAUCAACGGCGUGAAGCAACUUUAAGCUUCAAGCUCUGCCAGUACUCACAAAUCACAAGAUGACCAACAUGCCAAGGAACAGGAAACAUGAAUCUAACUUUGAAGCGUUUGAUUUGGAUUUAAGACCAAAGUAGUUAACUGUGGAGCAACAUAACUGUCGAACUCAUUAAAGAACCAUGAAUGCAUCAAACCAGUACUGCAAAUCUUAUUAAAGAACCAUGAAUGCAUCAAACCUCCGCAUUGCAAAGUUUACAAAUCUCUUCCGUUUUAUAAUGGGUUUACAAUUACAGGUUUACAGGUACAGGCUUUCAAUGUUUGCUCAUUGAUAGCUCAAAGAGAGAAUCAAAUUGACAAAAUCAGAAUUGGAAAACGUCUGAUUAAUAGGAUUAAUAUGCUAUCCCACAGCAUAAUUCGUUAUCUUCACAGCAUUUAGUAUUUGCUCGUUCAUCAACUAGUCCAAAUCGGGCCAAAUGUGAUGAUCCUACCAGAAAAAAGGACCCAAAUCUGCAAAACCUACUGAUUUCUAACAACUAACAAGAAUUCUACAAUUAAUGGAGGUAAUUUCAUGCAGUCCCGUCCUAGAAUCCUCUAGACAACCCAUGAACAAGGACUCACCAAGAACCGCUCCCCGGAGCCAAGAAAGCUAACUAGAGAUUGUCAAGAACGCUUCUUGAUCAGAAGUUCAGAGCAAACCCAGAAUCGUCAAGAACGCUCGCGCCCGCCGCUCCCAUGUCAACACCCCAGGGCAGUCUUGGUCGCCGCCGGCGAGGCCCGUGGCGACUGCGGCGUGGCCCAGAUGUUGCACACAGGGCAGCGCGGCGAGAUGGCCAGCCACCGGUCGACGCAGUCCUGGUGGAAGGCGCGGUUGCAGGCGGGGAGGACGCGCACGGCGCGGCCGGGUUCCAUGGCGUCGAGGCAGAUCGGGCAGAGCGCCUCCUCCUCGCCGGCCGCGGCCUCAGCCAGGACGACCCCGCCCAGCUGCGUCAGCUCCGCCUUCGAUAGCCCGUUCUUGUCGUUGUCGUCGUCGUCGUCGCGCGGCUCCGGCGCCAAGGGAGGCGGGGCGGGAGGCGGUCCCAUGGCCACGGCCUGGAACAGGUAGCAGAGCCAGACGCCGAGCACCCCGAGCAUGCCGAUGGCGAGAGACCCUACGGCCAAGAACACGGCCCAAAGCUGCGCCAUCCUGCUCUCUCUGUCUGUCUCUCGCAAAGCUCUUUCUCUCUCGCGCGCGCACGGUGGUGGCAGUUACGGGCUCACGGCGCGUGGCGUCGUGGGAUGGCACGGGAUGCAGGGGAUGGGGACGGAUGCAGGGGAUGGCAGGUGUGUACUGUAUUUAAAUGCUUUUGGUGCUGGGCCAUCUGGUCUUAUGGGCCUUAAAGUAGGGACGAAAGGCCCAAUGAGGCAAGAAGCCUAGUUCUCAAGUACUGACUCGUACGGGGAGGGGGAGAGAGAAAUCCCAAACGAAGGAGUCCAGAGAGGGGAGGAUCUCGCGUAGUGCGCCCAUGGCGAACCAGGGAGCUAAGAAGAUUGUGGAGAAGAACAAGAAGCGCAUGGACCUCCUCUGGAACCUCAUCCUUGCAUCCAACGUAAGCGGUCCCCUCUGAUUCUUCUUUCCGUCCCUCAGAUCCGUGAAUUACUUGGGGACGUUCGUAGUUCUUCCUGCCCAACCCUUUGUAUUUGGUGGAGUUUGUGUGAUUUUGAGCUUGCUGUAGUGAUUUUGGUGAAGCCUAGAACAGGAUUAGCUUGUCUUGUCUGGAGUAGUCGCCUGGGCUCUGUAGUAGUCGCUCGUGUAUGUUCCACCCUCUUUUGUUGGAAGGCGUAGGAUUGAACCUUCCAUGUCAGGGUUUGGUGUGGGGGAUUGGGGUGUAGGUAGAGAAGAAGCAUAUGCUAGCGGGAUUGCGGGAGGAAGGAGCGCUCUGCUGAUGGUUUUGUUUGUGGAAACACUUGCACUGUUUUUUGGUUUUCUGUAAUCGCUUGUCGAAUUGGAGUUCAUGUAAGAGUAUCAGGGGGUAUUUCUGAAAGUAUGCCAUCAUCUUAUUAUACUCCCUCAGUCCCAAAAAAAGUGACGUGGAUUUGUAUUAGAAUCUAUACAAAUCUACGUCACUUAUUUCGGGACGGAGGGAGUACUAUAUUUUUGUUGGGCCAUAUGAUGGAGCUGGCUAUUUUGAGUUUGAGGACUAGUUCAUGUUAACUUUUCUUCUUUGCAGGUUAUUUACAUGGUAGUGAGGAUGGCUAUAAUGCAUUCAUCUUUCACCUGGAAGCACUGGUUUGGCCUUGUGGUGACAUCUGCUGCAUAUUUUCUUUCAUACAAGCAACUUGCCAGUAUGACAAAGCCAGAAUACUCUGAAUCUGAUAGAAAAGAAGAUAAACCUGAACUGCUGAAUGCUGGUUAUGACAUGAGCACUGGUGGGAUUAGCGAGUAAGGAACUACCUGCACAGUGUAGUUGUUAGCUUUUUGUAUUUAACUUGCUGAUGAAUCAUUGAUUUUUUUCUUGCAAUUAGUCUUUAACUUUGAGUUGAGGCAUGCAUCUGUAUGAAGGCCUGCAUAGUCCAUAGCUCUCCGCUUCCUUAGGAACAGUCUACAGCUAAUGCGAAAUGUACAUUCUAACUGAAAUAAAGCCAGGAACACGAAAUGUUGUGAAAAUUAUUAUAGUAAAAACCAAAAAAAUGAUAAAUGUUAUUUUCACUAAUGGAUUAUAUGAACUUGUAUGUGUGGUACUCCUUUUUUCUUUUCUUAUGAUAGAAUUGCAAGCUGUUUUUGCUUCCUUUUGCAGAUAUUUAGAAGACGUGAUAUACAUCACAGUCUUUGUGCAGCUGGCGUCUAUUAUUUCUGGAAAAUUUUGGUGGACAUAUGUAGUGGUAAGAUGCACAAACCACUUGUGACUUCAUACUGUAUUCCUGUUAACCAUCACAAUUACUUUUCAUUAUUGUCCUGCUGAAAUUACUAGGGUGCCUUCUUUAACAAACAACAUAUUUCGUCCAGGGUAUAUAAACCUGCUUUUCAUGCAGUAUACAUCUUACAAAAUGGAGCUAUGUGGUGUUGUUCUGCAUCAUUGCGUCCAAGUUACACUGCCUAUUACUCUCUGUUGCAGAAUAGUUAUUGCAACGUAUAAAUAUACAGUAUGUGCCCUGUAACUUGGCCUGGUGGGCCCAUGAGUACAUGGGCCCUAGGCCGGGCCUAUAUAGGGAUCCACUGACCUAGUCGGAGGUACCCCGGGGUCCUGAAGGAAACCUUCUGAGAUACUUGGAAAGGAGUCACACAGGUUUCUCUUGUAGAAACCAGGAAACCUGGCCGGCGCAUCAUGGAGUUGUACUCGGACACAAAGGAGCAACAGCCAUACUGCGCAUAUAUAAGGUUGUCCAGGGGUCUGCAAAGGGGGUAGAGGAAUCGAAGGAUUCCAGAAGCCUACAGUAUACACAAACUUAACCUGCCGAGUCCCCACGACACAUCGGGUAGCCCCCACAUUAUAAAUGCUAUUCUACUCUAUGAUUCCCAUAACAUACAAUCGAGGCAGAAGUAGGGCUAUUACCCAAUCCAAGGGGGCCUGAACAUGGGCAAAUCUGAUUGUACGAUCCAUCGGUACCCCGAGUGACGAGCGUAUCCCCAAUUGGUGGCGGCGGUCCGUAACACCUUCAAACUACAUCACUUGUUUAUUGUCAUAAAUCAAAGAGAUUUGCACAAAUACGAUCUAAUAUAAUACUCCCUCCUUAUUGGCGUAUUUGGUUUCGUUCAGACAAGACUUUGACAAAGAAUUACUGGUCAAAACAUUGUCUUAAUAAAACCAAAUACGCCAACCUUCGUGACAAGGAGGGAGUAGAUGAUAACACAACUUUCCGUUUAAAUGUGUAGUCUACUCUGUAGUCUGUAGUAACACAUGGGUAUUGUGGUAGUACUCAUUAUCUCCUUAACUAGUGUUCGAUUCUCCAGCCGAAGAUACUUCUUUCCUAGCUACCAAAGUAGACCUUUUCCACCCUGGUGUUUUUUCACCUAUAUUUGAAAUGCGUUUGUCGACCCCAAAAUUGUGUUAUAGAGGCAAAAAAUGAUCAUGUAUAUGCAGAUGCUAUGACAUGUAUAUUUGCAGAAUUUGGAUAAAACAUGACCGUAUACCCUGUAAAAAUAAUAAAUUGGUUCAGCUUGAAGAAUAGCACUCCAUUUGGAUUGUACAAAUUUAUUUUUGUGCAUGAUGUGCCCAGUUAUAUUAUUGGUUCAAAUUUUGCAAGUUUACUUGUGAUAACUGAUAACAUGAUGUCUAUAAUUUUUGAGUGGAAAAUAAUGUAUUUUCAAAUAUAGUAGCUAGUAGCUACCCUACACUCGUGAGUCUUAAAAACUACCAAGAGGUUUACCCAAUAUUUUAAGUUUCUAACUACUUGUUGUUGACCUGCAGAUUCCAGCUUUUGGUGGAUACAAGGUUUUUGGUCUGUUGAGAGGAACAUUUUUCGGUGGUGGUUCUGAGGUAAAAAUAGACUGAUUAUCAAUGUUACCACAUUAUCAUUAUUCGGGGAUAUCUGGAAAUGACCCACAAGUAUCGUACAUGUGGUUUGCAGGGUGAAGUUGAAGAUGAGAAGUCCCGCAAGAAAAGGGAGAAGAUGGAGAAGAAGGCAUCUAGAGGGAAGAUGAUCAAAACCAGGACUCGUUGAACAUGGUCAUAGCUGUCCAACUGCAUAUGCAAGCUGUAGGCGAGGUUUGCUAUCAUGGGUGAUAUCAUCUGUCCAUUUGAUCCAACAGCUAGUAAUAUGUAGCACAAAUGUCAAUUAAUCUUUAACUUAUGAAUACCAGCACUGUUAUUUGUAUAUUUCCUGACCCUUCUACCCCAAAUUAUGCGAGCCAACAUUGAGGCAUGGUAACUGAGAAAUACUAGUGAUACAAUUGAGGGUGGUCGUUUUCAUGGCUAGAGCUUCCUGUCCUGUUUCCCCAGAAAAUUUGUGUUUCGAGUUAAGCUAACCUUUGUUGCGAAGUGGAUCUGUGUAGUUAAAAUUCCAUUGGAAGGUGCUUUACCCAAAAUAAGGGUGAAAGCUCAACAUUCAAUCUAAAUUGAGAACCUUAUUCUCAGCCACUCAUCGCAGCACAGUUUGUAUAAUGCAUACUUUACGAGGUGCAUGUAUACUUUACAAGAUGCAUGUGGGGAUUUCUUAUUUUAAAAAUAAUACCAGUGAGUGUUUUUUUUAUAAGGACUGGCAAUAUGUUAUGUCUUGUUUUUUCAGCUUGUCAGUCUGAAACCCACUUUAUAUCACAAGUAUUUAUUCCCAAACUCAAACGGACUGAAAUCAACAGGUUUUGCAAGUCCACUAGUAUCAACUGUUUCGGUAUUUCACUUCACCGCCUCUCCGGCGACAGAGCAGACAGUACACGGCGCCGGCGACGAAAAAACUGACAAACCAGGCGUUGUUGUAGGCCGAGACAAAUGCCUUGGAGACAUUCGGCAGAACCCCGACUUUGUGCAGAAAUCCUGGCACGAUCGGCGCAACUCCGGCCGCCAUUGCCACCAUCGCGGCAACGUUGAAACCGCCCUGGAAAUAGUAAGGGCUCUCCCUGGCCUCCGAGUACAGAGCGUCCACGUCCAAAGCGGUGCGCCUCACGAUGUAGUGGUCGGCGAGGACGACGCCUCCUAUGGGCCCCAUGAGCGCCGAGUAGCCGAGCAGCCAGGUGUAGACGAAGCUCUCGCUGGAGCUGAGCAGCCGCCAUGGCUGGCAGGCGAUGCCAAGCAACGCGGUGAUGAGCGCCCCCUGCGCGAAGGUGAACCUCCGCGGGCUCAUGCUGACGAACGCGUUGGCAGGCGCGACGACGUUGGCGGCGAUGUUGGUCGUGAUGGUCGCGAGGCUGAUGCCGAAGAUGGCGAGCACCGUGGUCGCCGGGCCGCCGAUGCGGCCGAGGAGCUCGAUCGGGUCGGAGAUGACGUGGCCGAAGAUGGCCUCCGUGGAGGAGGUCACGGCGAGCCCCGCGAAGGUGAACAUGCCCAUGAACACCGGCAGCCCUGCCUGGCCGAGCACCUGGUCCGCCUGGCUCCGGGCGUACCGGGCAAAGUCCGGGAUGUUGAUGGCCACCGUGGCCCAGAAGCCAACGUUGGCGGUGAGCGCCGGGAAGAAGACCUUCCAGAACUCGGCGCCCGUCAGCCUGGGCGGCAGCGAGAGGACGCGCCCGAAGCCGCCGGCGGAGACGUAGGCCCAGGCGAGCAGCGCGGAGGUGAGCACGAUGAGCACCGGCGCCGAGUACCUCUCCAGCUUGCGGAUGCCUUCCAUGCCGUUCAUGAUGACGGCGAGCUGCGCGGCCCAGAAGGCCAGGAAGCACGCGAACUCCAGCGGCGCCGCGCCCAGGCCGGGCACCGGCUUAAGCAGCGGCGCGUACGACUUGAGGCUGGAGGGAAGGAGGAGGAACACGGCGCGGCCUCCGAUCCAGGACUCGAUGCCGAACCACCCGCAGCCGACGAGCGCGCGGAUGACGGCCGGGACGUGCGCGCCGCGCACGCCGAACGUGGCGCGCGCGAGCACCGGGAACGGCAGCCCGUGCGUGACCGCCGGCGCGGCCGUGAGCACGAGGCAGACCAGGACGACGGCGUUGGCGAGAGCCACCGUGGCGACGCCCUGGAGCGCCGACAUGCCGAGGUCCACGAGGCUGCCGGCGAGGUAGUAGGACGGCACGCCGACGACGAGGCCGAUCCAGAGGCUGGCAAGGUCCCAGGCCGUCAUGGUGCGCUCCGAAGGCGGCGUCGGGGACAGGUCCGAUUCGCUCGACGACAUCCUGGGUCUCGCCGGCAGCAUCCGCGGGCGCGAAGCGAGCGUGAGGCUUGGUCCGCGAGGGAGAAGAGGCAGCCGCAGCGGUGGCGCCUGCUGGGAGCUCGUCGUCACCGCAAGGCGGUGUCGCAAAUGGUUGGGACGCCCCGCGGUCAGAGCUUUGGAAAUCGCCAUGGACACCGCCAUGGUCGUGGCUCGUGGGAGAAGCAGGGGAAGGAGAUGAGGAGAGGUUCUCUUGACUUUGUUGGAGCUUGGUAGCAGGGAGGAGAUGAUAUGAUACGGGAUCUUGUCGCUUGGUUGGAUGCCCCGUGUGCCACUGUGCAUCGGGACCCACUGCACUCGACAGCGAGAUCAGAUUCCGUUGGUGGUCGGCUGCCAUUGGGUCUUCGCUGUUUAAGAGUGACUUGAUCCGUUCGAUGAGAAAUGGACGGAAGAAGAUUGAUCUGGGGAAUUUUAAAGACUUUAUAGAUGCAGUGGAGUACGUGUUCGGGAAGGUUGGUGACCGAGGAGAGGGAGAAGUCGAGAAGAGGAUCUUGAGUGUUAGAAGAAAAUAGACAUGAUGAUGCUACAAGAAAGAUUAGAAAUAUAUGCUCCCUCUUCAAUAUCCAUAAUUCUACAUGUUAGGGCCAUGUGGUGAUAGGCCAGUUUUAGUUUAUCACCUGAUCUCAUCCAAGCUGCCAUCGACGCAUAAUUGGACUAAUUGCUCAACUUGAGCUUUGUUUAUAAAAGGACAUAGCAGAGGUUAUUUCAUGAGUUGUGAGCGAGUUUCCUUCGGUGAUACCGCCAAGGCAGCGAGCGAGUUUUUCAUGCGGGGCCGGAGAAACUUUUGAAAAUGAAGACCAAUCAGCGAUACGUUGGCUUUGCGUCUCACCGAAGUGGACGGUGACGUCUGCGGUGAUUACCUCUGUCCUAAAGUGAGUAAUUCCUCGGAGCUCCCAUAUUAAGUAACAAAAUAUUACAUGUAUUUAGAUGUUUUUUGAUAUAGAUACAUUCAUAUUUGAGCAAAUUUGAAUCACUCUUAAUAUGAGACGGUAUAUAUAUUUAAUUCCCUCGCGGUCUUUUGGUAGGAGAGAAUUAGAAAAAGGAAAUCAAAGUUUAAAGAGCACGAGCUCUUGAAUUAUUUGUUUAAUUGGUGUGAAUGAUGGUUCAAUAGAGAUUGAGCAUGAGAAUUGAAAGAUCAACUUCACCACUUUACUACUCCCUCCAUUUCCAAUUGAUUCGUGCCGGCAAUUUUGCAAAAAGAAAAACAUGUUAAUUUAUGAAAUCAACCCGCAUUACACAUCUUCAGUUGAACGUGGACUACGGGUUGAUUUCGAAAAACAACAGGGUUUUUUCCGCAAAAGUUCCGAUAGGACGUGGAUUGCGGGUGGAUUUCGGGAAAUGGCAAAGUUUUUUAUUUGUAAUAUUGCCGGCGCCAAUCAAUCAGAAACAGAGGGAGUAACAUAGGGGGCAUGAGUUGGUUUUCACAGGGGAUUGUUUGCUAGUGAUGAUCUCUAUGGUUCAUCAUAAUUUAUGUUUUUUUUCCUUAGCUAGCUCUAUGAAUUUCUAUGAAUGAAAGAUGUGAAUAAACAUUUCUCACGAUUUCCACAUGUAUUUCGCAUCACCUAUCACCUAUCAGACAAUAGUUUGGGGUUAAAAAACAAUUUUCCAUCCCUAGUCUCUUCCAAACUCUCUCCUUCCCCGCAUUGUCACAUUAACACGCUGUCAAAAUUAGGUUAGGGGUGCUUUUGUCAACGUGAUAUAUAUUUACAUUGGUUUGGCACUUAAGAAAGUAGCAUGUUGACUAUUUAACAAACAAGUCAAAUAGUUAUUUUCGCUUUUAACUCACUUUCCAUGUGAAAUUCCAAUCGUAAGACUUAGUAAGAAUCCGUAUAAGUAAAAAAUAAAAGAGAUCCAAAAGAUGUUGGAGGAUGGGUUUUGCCUUGACAAUAACGUGUCAUCCACGUUUAAGGUUUUAUUUGGUUUUGUUAAUUUAGGGGGCUAAGUGUCCAGAAAAUAGAUCAACAACUAAAGUGUUUUGAACCAAUGCCUGAGAGAGUUGAAUACUCUCUCUCUCUCUCUCUCUCUAUAACUAGCGGAGUGACCCGUGCAGAUUGCACUUAUAUUUAUAUUUUGUUUUUUCCAGUAGAUUUUUUGUAUGCAAUUUAGAUGUACUAUAUGCAAUUUAAACUUUUUUAAUGAUUUUUUUGAAAUAUAUUUGAAUGUUUUUUUAUUUGGUUUUUACGUAACCUAAAUUUAGAUAUAUGUGUUUUCUCCUUGUUUUUGCUCAUAUAGAUCUUUUGAAUGAUUAGAUUUAGAAAGAGUUGUAGAUUAUUGCAUGUACAGGUAACACAUGUGUUUCUAGUUGCAUUUAAAUUGGUGUGGCAACUUUGUUGAAAGGGCAUUUCUCUCCUAAAUAGUUUUGGUGGUGAUGACAACGUGUUUUGUUAUCUUAUCUUGUGCUAAGUAUUUCGGGUUUUAUAAAGAACUCGACACAAGAUGAUUUGUGGACCCCUAAAAAGGAAAGAAGCGUAGCGGUGUUUAGCGGGUUUUUCGGUUGUUUUGAGUCUUAGGACAUCCGUACUAUUAAGAGGGGAUUCACAAGGGAAGGUAACGGGUGAAUCAAUUUUAUGUACACAUCUACACCAAAUUGCACCCACUAAAAAGCCUACCCAAAAAGGUGUGAGUCGAAAACUGUUUUCAGAAGGUGUUUCUGGCAUUUGAGGAUUCCAGGCGGCGGAAGUUCCGGGUGAACUUCCACCCGAACCUCCGGGUGCUUUCUGUUAGUCCCGGAGGAAUUUGUGGAACUUCCGGUGAAUAUUUUUGGGAACCCACUUAUAUACCCCUUCGUCCCCAACGAGCCAAAGAACCAAGCAAGCAGCUAAGAACACCCCAACUCAUCUCAAGAACACCUCAAGCUUAAAUCUUCAAGAUCUCCCUCCCUAGCCACUCAUAUCUCUUGAUUCUUUGAGUAUUGGAGGAGAAGAUCUUGCUCUAGGGUUUCACCAAGUCAAAAAGUUGAUUCCCCUUAUUUUCUUUGUGGGUUUCGUUUCUCUUGGGUUGUUGGGAACCCUAGACGGAAGCGGUCAUCUCGAGCUCUCCCUUGGUGUGUGAGGAGCUUGAGGCUUGGAUUGGGAGCCUCCUAUUGAGUUGUGGAGUUUGCCCCGGUCAAGUUUGUAAGGGUUCGGCGUUCUCCCUCAAGGAAGCCAUUAGUGGAACUCACCUCACCUUUCUGGUGGUGUGAGAGCUCAUCCCACCUUUGUGGUGUGGUGAGUUGGAGAAUAGAGUGAGCCUUCGUGGCGUCUAUACCUUUGUGGUAGAGCACUCCUCCAAACGGAGACGUACACCGAUGCCAAUAGGUGGAACUCCGGUGAAAUCUUCGUCUCCACGUGUGGUAUCAUUUACCCUUUACAUUCUUGCUAUCUACUGUUGCUUCGGCUAUUGCAUUUCAUUCUAGGGUUGCAUUCACUUUAGAGAAUCUAGAAAGCCCUAGAAUUAAGUGUUUGUAUCUUUCAAGAAAAGCUAAAAUUUGUUAGUCUCCUAUUCACCCCCCCUCUAGUCGACCAUACCGAUCUUUCAAUUGGUAUCAGAGCCUCGUCUCUUAAUUAGGGCUUUACUGCUCUUAAGAGUAUGGCCGACGAUGAUGGGGAACCCACGGUGAAACCCCGAGAAACCGAGGUGAUAAAUGAUAAUGCUCCACUAACUUUUAAAUCCAUCAAAUGGCUUUUGGAUAGCAUGCAAAAAGUUAUUCUAGAUAGUGUGGACAAAAAGAUUAGUGAGCACCUACCUAACAAAGCCUCUUCUUCUUCUACCGAGCCUUUCUAUGCCAAGCCACCAAGUGCGGUGGAUUUGACUAAGGAAGAUUCGGAUGCCGAAACUCGUAACAAGGCUAAGGCUAUCGAAGAGAGUGUUACCAAAUCCCAAGGUAGGGGUGGCUAUGGGUUGUAUAGCGAGGUGGCUCCACCACCUCAAUAUAAUCAUCGCCACCAUAAUUUGCCACCUAUGUAUAAUCAAGGUGAACCCCCCAUGCUAACCUCUACUAAUUACGUUGAUUGGUUUCAUUCCAUGAGAACUCACUUCAAGAGCACAUCAACGGAGUUGUGGAGAAUUGUUGAAGAGGCUACUGUGUUCAUGAUCCAAAGAACUUGUCACCAAGAGAGUAUGUGGACAAUCAACUCAAUGAGCAUGCCAUUGGAAUACUCCUAAAAGCUCUACCCUUGGAGUAUAGAACAUUUGUCCGUAGUGUUGAUACCUCUAGAGAUGCUUGGAAGCUCAUUGGUGACCACUUUGACAACAAUGAGAGUGUUAGGAAGUCAAAGUUUGAAGUGGUCACCAACGAAUGCAAAAAUUUCUUCAUGAAGGAUGGAGAGGUUCCGGAUGAGCUAUAUAGGAGAGUCAUCACUCUUGGAGCCAAAAUGAAGUACCAUGGAAGUCGUGACAUCAAUGAUGAAUGGCUCAAGCGUCUAUUCAUAGAAGCCAUUUCCCCACACCGAGAGGUUCAUGCCGCAAUGAUUAGGCAAAGAACGGACUACUAUAGCUUGACUCCAAGUCAAGUAACGGGAGAAUUUGUAGCUAUGGAUAUUCUCAAGAAGACCUCCGAGAACAAUCUCAUUUGAGCCAAGUUUCUCUCACAAAGCUCAAUCCUUGCAUUGAAGGCCAACGUGACUCCCACCUCAACUCCAUGUGAAGCACCCAAGAAGAGGUUGAGAUCAUGGAAGAAAAUUGCAACUAUGAGUUUAGUGACCACAUGGUUCUUGCGGCUCAAGCCUUUUGGAAGAACAAGAAGUUUGUUAAGACCAACACCUUCAACCCCAACAACUUCUACAACAACAAGGGAGCUUCAAGCUCCAAGCCCAAAGGUCAAAGAUCUCGUAAAUGUUAUAAUUGUGGUAACAAUGACCAUUUCAUUGCAGAGUGUAUUUAUGAGAAGAGAGAGGAGAAUGGUGGACGCCUUAUACUUAAGGGGAAGACCAAGCCCUCCUUCCACAAGAAGCCAACGAAGAAGAGGCAACCAAGAAUGCUUCUUGUUCAAGAAGAAUAUACUUCGGGUGAGGAAGAUGAUGAUGAUGAUGAAGAGUCCACGGAGAGGGCGAACAUUGCCAUUGCUCCUUCACUUCCAUCUCUCUUCGACUCGCCCAAUGAGAACAAGAACCGCUCACCCAAGUGCCUUAUGGCCAAGACCUCUUCGGUAAUCUCUCCUCCCACCAAACAUGUCAUUCCUAAGAGUUUAUCUCUAUUUGAUUGUGUGGAGGAGAGUAGUGUUGUUGAGCAUAGCAUGAAUGAGUUCGAGAUCUUCAUGGCAAGAUUGGAAGGUGAGACCAAAAAGAGGUUUGAGGACCCCUUGGAAAAACUUGGUGAAGCUCAAACUAUUAUUGAAGAACAUGAUGAGCUCAUGGAUGAAAAGGUAAUACUUGAGUGUGUUGCCGCUCAUGAGAUUGCGGAGCUUAAUGAAGCUCUUGAGGAAGACAAACAAAGAGGGAAGCAAUUGAGGAGUCACUUUCUAAGGAACAUGCUAAAAUUAAAGAUUCUUAUGAUCAUGCUAUUUCCCUUGCUAAUGAGCACUUGGGUAGGAUAAGUGAAGUUGAGAAUGGUCAUAAGAACCUCCUUGAGGAAUUUGACAAACUUGGAAAGGAUCACAAGUCCUUUACAAGUGAGGACAAGUCUCUCAAAGAAUCUUGUGAUCAUCUUCUAUAUUCUCUUGUUAAGGAAUUAAUUUCUAAUGAUAAAGAUGCUUCAACUAACCCUUGUUGUAAGCAUACAUCUAUGAUUGAGGAGAAUGCUAGGUUGAAGGCUCAACUUGAAAAGGGCCUAGCCACUUGCUUCCAAGGCGAGAAGAACCUCCAUGAUCUUUUGAAUGAUCAUAGAAAAGCUUUUGGAUUGGAGGGAAUUGGAUACAACCCCAAUGAGAAGAGCAACAACAAGAAGAAGGCCAAGGCACCUCCCCACACUAAUGCUUAUUUUGUGAAGGAAGGGGAGGUGGCCAAGGAGAAGCCAAAGAACAAGAAAGGUGGCAAGGCCACCUAUGAUAAUAGUGCCGGGGAUUUCAAUCCCUCAUGUGUUGUCGUACUAAUGAUGGGCAUGUUUAUGCCAAAUUUGUUGGUUCUCCUUAUGAAUAUGUUCAUUGGUUUAUUUGGGUUCCUAAGACCCUUGUUGCUAACGCUAAUGGACCCAUUCAAAUAUGGGUACCUAAAACCAAACUUGUAGGAGGAUGCUUCCGAUGGAUCUUCAUGGAUAGUGGAUAGUGGAUGCACUAAUCAUAUGAUCGGGAGCAAAGAAUUGCUUGUGGACGCCAAAAUGAGUACAUCAAGGUCCAAACAAGUUACAUUUGGAAAUUCUUCAUAAUCAACGGUAUUGGGACUAGGCAAGGUUGUCAUCUCUUCGGAUACAUCCAUUGAGAAUGUCAUGCUUAUUGAGUCUCUUUCAUACAAUUUACUUUCGGUACUUCAACUUGCACGUAUGGGUUUUUAUUCCUUCUUUGGCACAACUUGUGUAACCUUUUUGUGGAGUAAGACUCUUAAAGUAGCCUUUGUUGGAUAUGUGGAAAAUGGUCUUUAUGUGGUAGAUUUCGGUAAGAAACCCAUUAGAGAAGAAACAUGUCUAAUGGCUAAAGUUGAUGUGGGUUGGCUAUGGCAUAGCCGUCUAGCCCAUGUCAAUAUGAGAUCUUUGCAAAGUCUCCUCAAAGGUGAGCAUGUGAUAGGAAUAACCAAUGUUUCAUUUAAUAAAGACCGUGUGUGUAGUGCUUGUAUUGAAGGGAAGUUACAUGAGAAGGCACAUCACCACAAGACAAUUAUCACUUCAACAAGGCCCUUGGAGCUCCUUCACAUGGAUCUCUUCGGUCCUUCUACUUAUGAUAGUAUUGGUGAUAAGAAAUAUUGUUUGGUUAUUGUUGAUGACUAUUCUAGGUACACUUGGGUAUAUUUCUUGAAGCACAAGAGUGAGACCCAACAAACCGUCAUCGACUUUGCCAAUGAAGCCCAACGCCAAUACAAUGCAAAGAUUAUGGCUAUUAGGAUUGGUAAUGGCUCCGAGUUUAAGAAUUACACCUUGAUUGAGUUUUUAAGUGAUGAGGGUAUCAAAAGACAAUAUUCCGCUGCGUAUACGUCUCAACAAAAUGGUGUAGCGGAGAGGAAGAAUAGAACUCUCAUGGAUGCAGCAAGGACAAUGUUGGCGGAGUUCAAGUCUCCAUACAAUUUUUGGGCCGAAGCAAUCAACACCGCAUGCCAUGCUACUAAUCGCCUAUAUCUCCGCAAGAUAUUGAACAAGACACCUUAUGAAAUUCUCACGGGACGCAAGCCCAACCUCAAGUACUUUUGGGUAUUCGGUUGUAAGUGUUUCGUGCUUAAGAAAGGUGUUCGUUUAUCUAAAUUUGAGCCUAAAACUUAUGAGGGCAUAUUUGUUGGCUAUGCAUCAAACUCCCACACUUAUAGAGUCUACAACAAAUCCACCGGAUGUGUUGACGAAUCUUGUAAUGUGGAGUUUGAUGAGAAUAAUGGUUUCCAUGUGGGGCAAGUUGAUGUUGUGGAUGUAGAUGAUCAAAUUCCUCCCAAGCCAUAUGAAGAAUGGGCAUAGGUCAAAUUAUGACCAUUGAGGAUCCCCGUAUGGAAGAAGGAGAAGGACAAUGCUCUACUCAAGUGAAGCCCUCAUGUCCACAAGAUCCACAAGCUAACCAAUAACAAGAACAAGUCCCUCAUGUCGAUGAACAAGUUGAUCAAGGACAAGUUCAAGCAAAUGUUGAUGUUGGUGAUUUUUCACCAAAUGAUGUCCAAGAUCAAGAUCUUCAAGAUGUUCAAGCUUCCAUUGAGCCUCAAGAUUUAUCUCAAUAAGCUAUGGAACGUCGGGCCAUGAAGAUUGCCUCACAACUUCAACGUCAAGAACAUACCUUGGACAAUGUCCUAGGAAGUGUGAGGAAAGGGGUAACUACUCGUAGACAAUUAGCUAACUAUUGUGAACAUCAUGCUUUUGUCUCUUGUGUUGAGCCUCAAAAGGUACAAGAAGCUCUUGAGGAUCCGGAUUGGCUUAAUGCCAUGCAUGAAGAGUUGAAUAACUUCGAGCGCAAUAGAGUACGGUCAUUGGUGGAAAGACCAAAAUAUUGCAAGAAAUGUCAUUGGCACUAAAUGGAUAUUUAAAAACAAGCAAGAUGCACUUGGACAAGUGACAAGGAACAAGGCAAGAUUGAUGGCUCAAAGUUUCUCCCAAGUCGAGGGUAUUGACUACAGUGAAACUUUUACUCCAGUUGCUCGCCUUGAAUCUAUUCGUAUAUUGAUUGCAUAUGCAUCGCAUCAUAACAUUACUUUGCAACAAAUGGAUGUGAAAAGUGCAUUUCUAAAUGGUCCAUUAAAUGAGUUGGUAUAUGUCAAACAACCACCGGGGUUUGAGAACCCUCAAUUUCCUAACCACGUGUACAAACUUGAUAAAUCCCUUUAUGGCCUCAAACAAGCACCUCGAGCUUGGUAUGAGCACCUAAAGGAGCUGCUAGUGGAUCGUGGCUUUGAAAUUGGGGUUAUUGACCCCACUCUUUUUACUAAGAUGGUUGGUGGUGAUUUGUUUAUAUGCCAACUAUAUUUUGAUGACAUUAUACUUGGUUCUACUAAUGGUGUGUUCAAUGAUCAAUUUGCUAAGCUAAUGAUCAAAAAGUUUGAGAUGUCUAUGAUGGGUAAAUUAAAGUUCUUCCUUGGAUUUGAAAUCAAGCAAUUGAGAGGAGGAAUCUUUACUAAUCAAGCCAAAUACACCCAAGACAUGCUAAAGAGAUUCAAGAUGCAUGAUGUCAAGAGUGCCAAGACCCCAAUGUCUAUACCAAGCUCUCUUGAUCUAGAUCCCAAUGGUAAAGAUGUGGAUCAAAAGGUAUAUCGUUUUAUGAUUGUUUCCUUGCUUUACCUUUGUGCAUCUAGACUGUAUAUUAUGUUAAAUGUGAGUAUCUGUGCAAGAUAUCAAUCCGCACCAAAAGAAAGCCACUUAGUGACGGUCAAAAGAAUCUUUAGAUAUUUAGUUCAUACCCCAAACUUUGGUUUAUGGUAUCCUAAAGGAUCAAGUUUCAAGCUCAUGGGAUAUUCGGAUUCGGAUUGGGCGGGAGACAAAGUGGAUAGGAAGUCAACUUUCGGGACGUGCCAAUUUCUUGGUAGGUCUUUGGUGAGUUGGUCUUCUAAAAAGCAAAAUUGUGUGUCUCUCUCCAUGACGGAAGCCGAGUAUAUAGCCGCCGCAAGUUGUUGUGCACAAUUAUUAUGGAUGAGGCAAACAUUGUUGGACUAUUGAAUCACUUGUGAAAGUGUGCCUCUUUUAUGUGACAAUGAGAGUGCAAUCAAGAUAUCCCACAACCCCGUGCAACAUAGCAAGACGAAACAUAUUGAGAUUCGCCAUCAUUUCAUUCGAAAGCACGUGGCCCGUGGUGAUAUUGAUCUCUCUUAUGUUGCCACCGGUAUGCAACUAGCAGAUAUUUUCACGAAGCCUCUUGAUGAAGCAAGAUGUCGGAAGUUAAGGCAUGAGCUAAAUAUCUUAAAUUCUAGUGUUGUGGUUUGAUAAACUUGCACCCGUACCCAUGGUUAACAUUUGUCUAGUUUGGAUGUGCGCAUGGAUGUAGGGGGAGCAUAGCUCAAUUCAUGGGCAAAUGCUACUCUUACUAUGCUAACAUUAAUUUCAUACAUUGAGCUUCAAUGUGAGUUUUGAGUCUUGAGCUCAAGAAUCUAUAUUCACGGUGUCAAGCUCAUACAUACUCAAAUAUGGUGUCCUAUGCCACCGCCCUCACUUUUGUGAGGUUGGUUCUUUUAAUUCAUUACAAAUCUUAUAUAGUCAAAUAUGACAUAUUAUGUAUUUAUGGAAAUGCACUCAUAUUUGGUAUUUUGACUUUGCUUCUUGCAAAUUGAGUGUAUAAUGCCGUAAUAUAAUUCCAACUUUGUGUGAUCUACCCAAGCCGUCAUAUCUGAAAACCAUCUAUUCUGUAUGCUCAAAAGUUCCCACUUUGAAUCCAUUGUCUGUGUCUGGGUUUGCUGAAACUUCUGGCUCCCGGGCGGAACUUCCGAUCAGCCAGAUGUUCCGCCAGUUGUUCGGAACUUCCGGUGAGAAGUUUUUCCUGUUAAAGCGAAGGGGGCCGACCGGGUGGGGGUUCUUUUCCCCACACCAGCCCUACCCCCCUCUCUCUUGCUCCCUCCUCAAACCCUAGCUCCAAGGAAGUCGCAAUCUCUUUGGAUUCAACCGGAAGAUCCGGUUCCUCUCAUCGGAUCUACAACAAGGGCGUGUUUCUCUUCGAUCCCCACCAUGGUGAAAUCAAGUAAAUCCUCUUUUCUCUCCUUCUAGGGUUUGUUUGAAUCCUUGGAUGAAUGUGAGAAAUUAGGGCAAAUUUCUUGGUGGAAUUCCUUUGUUGUGUAGAAUGCAUGGACUAGGCUAGUUGGAUUUGAGGUUGUAUGGCUUGAUUGUUGAGGGAUUGGAAGUUAGGGUUCGUCCCGUUUCUGCGGGAUCCCGGAACUUCCGGGUUUUAGCUGGAACUUCCGGUCCCUGGACAAUUUUUCUGCACAGUCUCGGCUCCAAUUAAUCAAUUCUUUACUUCUACAAUCCUGUGCACUUACCUAUUGUCCCUCAUGUCACUUUUCUGUUCACAGGGAUUAUUAGUUCUCGUCAAGAUAGGGGCAAGGAUCCGAUAAUUCCUCCUUCUCCCAAGAAGCUUACAACAAAGAAGAGGGCAGAGAUUGUGAUGAAAGAACGCGAGCGUGAGCAGCUAGACCUCGCCAAGUCCAAGUCCUCUCGCCGAAAGUCGACUUCCAAAGCUCAGCCCAGCAAGUUUCCUAUCAAGCAUUGGCCGAGCAAGUGUUUGCGGAUGAGAGGUUUAUUAAUCCUUAUUUGAAGGAGCCUGAUUCAGAUCUCAAUGAUUGCAACCAUCACUUCCAUACCAACUUUCAGAUUCGUAUCUUUAAAAAGAUAUAUUUGCCUCCCAAGACCAAAGUUGUUCCUCAAUGUUCUAUCAAUGUUGAAGCUUUGCAAGCCGACAAGAAGUACUUUGGAGAAGCACUUUCUAUUUGUGAGAAGCUCAAUUUGUUUCUUAUCAUGACCGUCAAUCAAGCCUAUGAUGAGACUCUUGUGGCUCAGUUUUAUGCCACAGUGUUUCAAGAAGAUCUAGAUGACCAGAACAUUCACCGUGUUUCAUGAAUGUCGAGGAGCCACUUUUGCACUGCCACAUGGGCCGAGUUUGCGAGCCUACUUGGAUAUGAGAAUGCUGGACAUUGCACUCCUUCUGGUUUUCGCCCCCAUGACAAUGAUGUUGCUGGCAAGAAGGUUUUGAAGCCACUUUACAUGGAAGGAAGAGUAACUCUUGGAUGAACCAAAUUCCUAAAGCCAACAUAUGACAUCUUGCAACGCAUCUACCAAGAAACCAUUGCUUGCAAGACGGGUAACUCGGAUGAGCUACAUGGUUUUGGUGUCAAUCUCAUGUUGGAAACACAUAAGAGGAAGAAUGGAUAUACACCUUUGGAUGUGAUGGACUACUUAUGGCAUGAGCUAUAUUUUGCUAUUCUUCAUAGGAGAGUGCCUCCCUAUGCCCCGUACAUCAUGAAGCUUAUUCUUGCCAAGGCACCUCUCAUGCAUGAUGUAGACUUUGUGGUUCACCCCUCCAAGCAACUGAAGAAGAAGAGACGCCUUCCACCACCUCCGAACAACUUUCAAGCCCCCGUUGAUAUUGAGGAGGAUGAGGAUAUUCCUUCAGAUUUGGGUUUGGGACCCUCCUCUCACACUCGUGGUUCUAGCAAGCAAGGUGGUUGGAAGGGCAUGCUAAGGAAGAUAUUUUGCAUGCAACAAUCCAAUGAGAGGAAGUUGUACAAGGUUGAACAAGUUAAUCAUCGCAUUCUUCGUCGUCAAGAGCGCAUUUUGAAUCAUUUGGACUUGCCUAGCUCUCUUGUGUCCGAUGUUGAGAACUUUGAGAGUUGGAGGAGCACACAUGGAGAUUGGAACCGCAAUGAUAGUCAUCUUCCUUCUCCGGUGCGUGGUGAUGAAGAAGAUGAGGAUGAUGAUGAAGAUGAAGUGCCUGCUGCCGAGGGUAGUGAAGAAGAGGAUGAGGAAGAAGACACCGAUGAUGAUUUCUCCGAGUGAUUUGGUUGUUUCUCUCUUGGGACGAUUCUUCCCUUUUUGGUGUCUUGAUGCCAAAGGGGGAGAGUGUAGUUGUGAGGGAGAGUUUAGGGCCUCGGGGAUUUGCAUGGUUUAGUCACAAGCUCGUUCUUAUUCAUUUUAGGUGCUUGUGCUACUUAUCUAGUUUGUUGAACUAUUUAAAUUCAAAUUCGUGGUUUGUGUAAAACUUGAUAACUUUGUGUGAUGUAAUAGCUAGCUUUAAGCUUUAUGUGGUGAAUUAUUUGUUCUAAAUAUGAUUCCAAUGCUUAUCUCAAGUCUUACUAAUCUUGUGUGGAGAUGUGAUAUUUUUGUGCCCUUAGAUAUGUGCUCCAUCACAAGAUCUCAUUGCAAAAGGUAUAUGCUCAAUUGGUUUUGACUUAUCUAACCCUUUAUGCUUCUCGGAAGCCUUGCUCGAUAUCUUAUUGGAUAAGUCAUUGUAGGUUUCAUUCAAAAUUGUUAUGUCUUGUGGAGGUAUGAUCUAUAUCUUAUUUAUGAAUGAAUCUUACAUAUCCUUGUAAAGCUUUUAGUGAAAUACCUUUAAUCCUUUGCAAAUUGAGUUAUUGGUUUAUAAAAUCUAGGGGGAGUGUUGAUCCUAAUGUAUGUGCUCUUUGCAUGUCAAGCAAAUCAAACUAGUGCAUACAUCUAGGGGGAGCCCGUCUAUAUUUUAUAUUCCAUGCAUCUAGUUUUUAACUGAUUGUUCUUUAUGCAAAUCUUUGUGUUGUCAUCAUUCAACAAAAAAAAGAGAUUGAAAGGGCAUUUCUCUCCUAAGUAGUUUUGGUGGUGAUGACAACGUGUUUUGUUAUCUUAUCUUGUGCUAAGUAUUUCAGGUUUUAUAAAGAACUCGACACAAGAUGAUUUGUGGACCCCUAAAAAGGAAAGAAGCGUAGCGGUGUUUAGCGGCUUUUUCGGUUGUUUUGAGUCGUAGGACAUCCGUACUAUUAAAAGGGGAUCCACAAGGGAAGGUAACGGGUGAAUCAAUUUCACAUACACAUCUACACCAAAUUGCACCUACUAAAAAGCCUACCCAAAAAGGUGUGAGUCGAAAAUUGUUUUCAGAAGGUGUUUUCUGGCAUUUCAGGAUUCCAGCCGGCUGAAGUUCCGGGUGAACUUCCGCCCGAACCUCCUGGUGCUCUCUGUUAGUCCCGGAGGAAUUUGCGGAACUUCCGGUGAAUAUUUGGAACUUCCGGUCAGCCGGAAGUUCCGGCCUACCCCGACCUGUGCCUAACGGCUCGAUUUUUGGGAACCCACUUAUAUACCCCUUCGUCCCCAUCGAGCCAAAGAACCAAGCAAGCAGCUAAGAACACCCCAACUCAUCUCAAGAACACCUCAAGCUUAAAUCUUCAAGAUCUCCCUCCCUAGCCACUCAUAUCUCUUGAUUCUUUGAGGAUUGGAGGAGAAGAUCUUGCUCUAGGGUUUCACCAAGUCAAAAAGUUGAUUCUCCUUAUUUUCUUUGUGGAUUUCAUUUCUCUUGGGUUGUUGGGAACUCUAGACGGAAGCGGUCACCUCGAGCUCUCCCUUGGUGUGUGAGGAGCUUGAGGCUUGGAUUGGGAGCCUCCUAUUGAGUUGUGGAGUUUGCUCCAGUCAAGUUUGUAAGGGUUCGACGUUCUCCCUCAAGGAAGCCAUUAGUGGAACUCACCUCAGCUUUGUGGUGGUGUGAGAGCUCAUCCCACCUUUGUGGUGUGGUGAGUUGGAGAAUAGAGUGAGCCUUCGUGGCGUCUAUACCUUUGUGGUAGAGCACUCCUCCAAACGGAGACGUACACCGAUCCCAAUAAGUGAAACUCCGGUGAAAUCUUCGUCUCCACGUGUGGUAUCAUUUCCCCUUUACAUUCUUGCUAUCUAUUGUUGCUUCGGCUAUUGCAUUUCAUUCUAUGGUUGCAUUCACUUUAGAGAAUCUAGAAAGCUCUAGGAUUAAGUGUUUGUAUCUUUCAAGAAAAGAAAAAGGAAAGCUAAAAUUUGUUAGUCUCCUAUUCACCCCCCUCCCCCUUUAGUCGACCAUACCAAUCUUUCAUUUGUAAAGAAGUUUUCCUUUAGGCAUUGAUUACAGGUAUUUAGGUUUUUAAAUCCUUAACUUUUAUUUAUAUACAGAUAAUAUAUUAAUCAUUCAUUCCGCCUGAUUUGUAUCAAUUAGGUCAAUCAUCCAUUGGCAUAUACAGUUUUCUUGAUUUUUUUUAGCCGAUGUUCCACACAAAAGCUCCCUUCUUCCGUCAUGUCAUUUCUGGUACUUCAGUAGUCCGGUUGUAGUCAUGGUUGUGGAUUUGGGUGAGCUCAUGGUCGAUCGGCUUUCGGCUGGCCAUUUCGUGCGAGGGUGCUUCUUCCGAUCGAAGGCUGUUGAUGUAGGCAUGGAUUCGGCGAAGGAUGUCUUUCCAUCCGAAACACAUAGCAUUUAUCCUGUAAGCCACGUAUUGUAGCUUCUGUCGUAUGUAUGUAUGUGUCUGUGCUAAGUGCUAGCCCCUGGACCGGCGAAUGCGUUUGUGUGCCAGGCUCUUUGGCUGAUGUAGCAACCUCUAUGGUGGCUGUUGAUAUUGUUGUGGCUUGUUACCUUUCUUCAGUGUACCGCCGUUCAUGACCACAUGCUUCCGUUGCUGCUGCCUUGAGGGUUGCGACUUUGGCAUCCCCAUCAAGGUAUCCUGUGAUGUGAGUGCAGUGCCGGUCACGUGGCUGAGUUCACCUUUGAAUUUUGUGGUACAGGUCCGCACGAAUGCCAUGUGAUUUAACAUCCCACAUGAAAGGGAAAGACAACAUAUGUUGACAUUGUGUUAGUAUUCUAAUUCUAGACUUAGUUUCAUUAUUCUGCAACACGACCGUCGAAAUAUCAUCAGUUGACUUUCCUUGACCAUCUUGAACUUCCAGUUGUACUCCCUCCGUCCAACAAUAAGGUGCAUAUUAGGAUUCGGUUGACCAAACCUCUGACCACAAAUUACUUCAUGAAUAUGUGACAAAUGUGAUCAAAAUCAUGACCUUAAGCAAAUAUCCUUGAAUACGAAUAUAAUGGAUAUGAAUUUAUGUCAUAUAAUUAUAUAUUAAUAGAGUAAUUUUUGGUCAAAGUAUUGGUCAAAGGAAAGCUAAUACGCUCCUUAUUGUUGGAUGAAGGUAGUAACGUUUUGUUCGUAUCCUGUUUUUGCGCAGGAGCCAAUUAUUUUUCCAUCGAAUAUACUAUUAUCUUUCUUUCUCUUUUUCCUUUACCUUCCUUUGUUUUUCUGGACAAUUUUAGCCGUUCUCUACCUCUUGCUAGAUUAAUAAUAUACUCCCUCCGUCGAUCCGUACAAUAUUAAGUUACUCAAAUUUGUUUAAAAAUGGACGUAUCUAUAUACUAAAAUACGUCUAGAUACAUGUAAUAUUACGACACUUGAUAUGUGACGGAGGGAGUACAAUGUUUAUGACUUAUUGCCACAUUGAAUCUUGACCAUACAUUAAAACUGACACAAUCUGUAAUAAAAAUUUGAUAGAUGGUGGCGGGGAUAAAAUCUGCUGGUGGUGGGGUAAUUCAAAUUCGGUGCUCGAUCAUGAUUACACAUACACGGAUGCGUGCAACAGGAAUUUAUUCAUUGUGUCUGCUAAUUCUAGUUUGUUGUGUGGUGAUGUGUAUGCAAUCGCCCUAUGUUUUGUAACGUGUAAUCCUUGAAGAUUGCUUAAAAAACUGUGAACUUACGUGUGUCCACGUUUUAUGGACUUCAGCUAGAGCCUACUGCUCUACAUGCUUUACUAAACUAAAGAUCGAACUACAGAAUUAAAGAUGGAACCUGUUUAGGAGCAGUAAAAGUUCCGAGAAACGCUUACCUGAAGGAGACCAUGCAUGUAGCGUUAAUUGGUGGCCGAUGCGCCUUGUCUCGUAAAGGAGCACAGGGCGAUGCAAAAAGAAGGCAGAUGGAUGCAGGGCGCGACGGUGACCGCCUCCGCCUCGGCUAUACGGCCUGCACCCUGCAGUGUGCGGCUAAGUUGGUUUUUUCAGGAAACGGCGUAGACGACGAACCGGCGACGCUCAGGAGCCAGUUGUUUUCCCAUCGGAAUUUUCCUUUCUUUUGUCCUUGUAUUUUUUUAUGAGUUCUAUUCGGAUUGCACUCUAAACAGUCCUAUUCUUUUCCCCUCUCCGUUUCAAUUUAGUUAAUCUUAGCGGUUCAAUAUCUCUUAUUAGAUUAAAUUCUAGCCAUUGUUUAUGACUUAUUGUCAGAUUUAAUCUUCACCGUCCGAUAACUUUGACGUAAUUUCCACCGUAGAAUUUCUGCUACUUUAAUUGGAUAUUAGAUGUUGCGUUGGGCAUUCCUUUUUAGAGAAAAUGGUGUUACGUUGGAAAUUUGGAUGUAUAGCAUAAUCGAAAGACUUUGUGCAUUAGCCCACGUGGCCCAAGUUCAAGCCGAAUGGAAGAAGAACAUCCUAGAUAUGUACUGGAUCCACAAGUAUCCCAGUACAUUACAUGUUCGUUUUUGGAGCUCCUUUUUUUUUGUGCGUGUGGGGUGUAAAACCUGCGCUAAUAAAAAAAAAGAGAAUACGCAACAUAUAUGGAACACGAAUUUCUCAUAAGGAACAUGACACUUACAUGCCUGAUAAUCAUACAACAAACCAAUGUAAUGCAAAUAAAGAUGAACAGUUUAAAAUCAACCCAAACAUGCAGAAGGAAUCCUGAAACCAAACCCGCAACAAUUUGUGCACGUACGCGCGCCCGAACUAGCGAGCUACAGUACUCAUCAGAUAUGCACGUAGCAGUAGACCCGAUCGAAGGAGCUGGGCGACGCGAACUGGACGGGCACCAGCGGGCAGCUCGCCCGCAGCUUGUAGCUCCGCGUCCUCACCACGCCGUACCUGAAGUGCACUUUCCCCCGGACGUGCACGUCCAGCGGCAGCGUCCCCGCCGACCGGUCCUUCUCCAUCUCCCUCUCCACGUCCCGCGGCACCGGCGACGACGCCGCGGGCGCGGCCACGUCGAUCCUCGUCUCGUUGUGCGGCGGCUGGCGGAACCCCGGCACCUCGGCGCCGCCCAGGUACGUGCCGUCGUACCACACCCCGACGUCCAGCGAGUGGUACACGGCCGCGCGCUUGUUCUGGUUGUAGGCGCGGAAGGUGAGGUCGAAGGCGGUGCCGACGAGCGCGCCUUUGGCCGUGAAGUUGAACCCGGCCACGGCCGCGUGGUCCACGGAGAGCUGGAGCUUCCCGGGCCGGAGCACGAGCCACAGCACCACGAUGAUCGCCGCGGCCACCAGCAGCGCGAACAGCGACGCCGCGACGCAUUGCGCCGCCGUCGGACGCGUGCGCCGCGUCGCGCUCAGGGGCCCCGGCGGCGCCAUUGGUUUAUUCGCAAUGUACUGUAGUGCUUGAGGAUUUUGGAGUAUCUCUCGGUUACUGAGUUUCGAUCUCUCUUCUUGUCUGGCUUGUUGCAAACGAUAUGGAGGGCAUCCGGCCUAUAUAGUAAGUGCAGCGAUGCUUUGAGUAGCGAGAGGAGGUUUCUACGAGUUGCCACAGGCUGUGGUUGGAGUAGUCGGCGGUUUUGGCACACGUCUGUCUUGAGAGGAUGGCCGCCAGCUUGCCGUGGUGCAAAGUACCAAAGCUCUCUGCACGGCUAAGUUUGUGAGGAGUUCACAGGCAAGUGGUCAGUAAUGUUUUCUUCCGUUCGUGGGCUCUAGAGUGUUUGGGCGCUUUGGACGGAGCUUUGGUUUUGGAAUCCUUCUGCCUCACUCCCACGUAGGAACCGAUGCGCGCCAAGGGAGGGAAAGCAUAUAGACAGCCCUCAGAUAAAUGCUAAAUAAUUUUAGUGCGCUCACAUGCGGAUCUUUUUCACUUCUGGAUAAAAGGUAUAUGGGCGUCGAAGAACAAGAAUGUGGAGGACUCCGGAGAAAUGUCAAAAUCAGAGGAAACUUUACGCUGCCGAGCAGCGUAAAACAGUCCGAGCCAUUGAAAAAAAUAAACGAUCUUUGUUAGCUUACAUCUAUGCCAAUUUGAAAAGCACACGUUGGUGUUUAACGCAUUUAAUCGUUGCCGUCCAUUCACUCAUUCACAAUCAACUUUUUAAACUGGUUACUGAAAGGAGGAGGAUGUUUUCCCCUACGGACUUAUGUGUAAUUUUAUUUUUCUUUAAAAGGAGUCAAUGAGUCACAUACGAGUUUUUUUUCUUUUUGAAACUAUGAGUCACAUACGAGUUGGUCACUUGGUUGGAUGGAUAUAUGGCAUGGCCUUCUCGCAAAAAAGUACUGUGCGUAUAUUUUUAAGUUUGAAACUACUUCAAGAAAUACAAUUUUAAAUAUAAGAUAAGAGGAGGGUGGAAAUCCAUUCAAAAGAGGUAUAAGUACGUAUUUACAAACUGAUUACUACAUAAAAACACUCUCCCCGCAAAAAGAAAGGGCUCUGUCUAUUAGCCAGGCACCUGCUUUUUGAUAACAGUCGCCUGGUUUUGUGUAUGAAAACAGUCGCCUGGUAAUACAUAAAAAAAACAGUCACAUUUCUAUGAGCCGCCCAACAAAUAUCUAACGAAGGAAAAAUUUGAAUAUAUGAAUACCUUCUGACUUUUGGCGCCCAACAUCAAAUUAGACUUUUGGCGCCCAAAAGCAAUAAAAUCAAUAUAGGUUCUGACGCCAAAAACCAAGGAAAGGAAUACCUGAAUACGCACAUACAAGACACACACCAUUACUCCGUUACUCCACAUCCAACAACCUUCAUGGCUUGCAAUUGCAGAAGUAAAACAUAGUGUUUGAUCUUGCAAUUGCACCUUCGCAGGCUUUCAAUUGCAGAAGUACAAAUGUAUUGCGAUUGAAAUCAUAAUUCAGUACAAAUUUGAUGUGAAAAAACACCACAACUAACCCUCUGCUAGACCUGUUCCAGCAAAUCAGAUGCAACACAACAGUACGGAUUGAAAAAGCUAAGCACAAUACCCUAUUAUAUUAGACAAGAUCGAAAUUGCAAAUUUAUUUUGAAAGGAACCCUAUCUACUCAGCAUAUCAGAUGCAGAACCUCUAUUCGGCUACCCUAAAUUGCUAAUCAUAACAAAAAAAUUAUUCAGAAACUUAUCUUCUUUCAAAAUUAAUCUCUUGGCCUGCUUACACAUUGUUUGUCCUGCUGCUACAACAGUAGAAAAGCAUAGUGAAUGUAUGAUCUGGCGUUUAAUAAUUUGAAGCUAAAAACUUAGUUAAAGAAGUGCACACAUGUACUAUGUCUUUUUGAAGAAUAAAUUUCAGAAAUGCAAAAGCAGAAGCAGCUGCAAAUUUAGAUACAUAAAACAAAAAAAGGGAACAAAAUGAGUUGGAAAUUAUGCUGCACACGUGGCCCAAUAGUUUAUAAUCAACAUGGACCAAAUUCAAUAUAAAAGGCAUCGCGAUGUAAACAAAUUGCAUACUUGAAGAAAAACAAGUGCAAUUGUGAUUGGCAAAUAUUAUAAUUACAAUAUAUAGUAGAGAUGCUACGAUUAGUUUGGAUGGCAGUGCGAUUUGAACAGCUAUAAAAAUGAAUCUACAGAGACCACUAUAUUGGUAGCUAAAACAAACACCUAUAACACAAGUAAAUGAACUAGUGCAAGCAUUUCGCUAGCAUCAACUCACCAGAGGACCGAAACGAGACCUCACAGCGAAAGGAUGCACUGAUGCAGAUGCCCUUGCCCUUCUGUCUUCACCUAGCAACAACGACCGAUUGGAAGCAAAAUCAGGGCAAAGCAUGGGCAAAAUGAACCACGAGAUCCAGAGCAACCCAGGAAAAACAACAGGGGGAGGGAUUAACUGGAAGGGAGUGAGAAAAACUCUGCCGCUGAGGACGAGAGACACCGGCCUCUGCUGCCUUCUCCCCGAAACAUCAGCCUUGAAAAUCCCUAAAAAUUCAAACAAAAAUCAUCUGGAAGAGAAGUGCAACUGAGCAAACUGACGCAACAAAUUCGGCCGGAGAAACUCAUCGCGCGCAGCGACCAACCUUGGCGCCGACGAGCACAGAUGCAAAAACAAAACAGCCCGCCUCUCCUGUCUUCUCACGAGCGAGCAGAAAUCAGAGCGGCAAAUGGUAUACUAAUUACUGCUUGAAAAUAGAAUGGAACUAAACAGAUUUAAGAUAUCCAAAAUUUCGCCCACUAAAACUAAUUAAAACUGAAUCUAACACAAGAUUCUAAACUGAAAUUUGAACUACUGACUAACCGAUACUACUGUAUUAUUUGAACUACACUGAACCUGCACUGAAACAGUUGACUAAAAUAUAUAAACAAUACAACAAAUAUUAAACUAAAAUUUAUAGCUAAAUGAUCACUGAACCUGCACUGAACUUGAUUGGAAAACACCGAAUAAAGAAAGACUCCAUGCAUAGUUCUUUUCCCAUGCAGUCAGAAUGACAAAGAAUCUGAAACUUAUAACUCAACUUAACUGCAUAUUAAAGUUCUUCACUAAUAUACACACAAAUAAAGUAUGACACAAGCCUUCAAAAUUUAUAGCUAAAAUGCACAUAGACUGAAGAACAAAAAGGCACUUGAAUUUUCAGUUCCAAUAUCUGAUUCUAGCCAAAGUGACAAAUCUGAAGAACACUAUAUCUCUGAAUCUCACUGGAAUAGAGAUAAAAUUACAAUAACCAAAUAGAGUUAGGCAAUUGAGUUGUGCUGCUUAUAAAUUGCACUAUAAUGGAUGUGCACAAAUCAGAAAUGAAAUGAAUUGAGAAAAGAAAUAUUAUCUGUCUCCAUCCUGACCUAGCAAAGUGUGUGUGAAGCUAUAAAUCUGCAAUGAUAAAUGCAAAAAAGAGAAGAAUUAAAGAUUGCGAUGUGCAAUUGCGCUUAGCCCCAAUCUAAGUUGCACUAAUAUAGGUGUGUCAAAAAAAUCAGAGAAAGAAAAGAUAUAUUUGGUUAAUUACACUUGCUUGGAACAAAAAUUGCAGAUCUAGAAAAAUGUGCAAAUGCAGGUAAACAUUGGUGCAAAAAAAUUGAGAUUAAAGAUUGCGAUGUGCAAUUGCGUUUAGCCCCAAUCUGAGUUGCACUAUAUAGGUGGGUCAAAAAAAAAUCAGAGAAAGAAAACAAAGUUUGGUGGAUCACACAUGCUUGGAACAAAAAUUGCAGCUCUAGAAAAUGUGCAAAUACAAAUAAGCUUUGGUGCAAAUAAACUUUGAAUACAACUAUUUGAAACAAAAUUUGCAGCUCUAGAAAAUGUGCAAAUGUCACUGGAGAACCCUGGCCAUUGGAGGAAUGUAUCUAGACCUAGAGAAAAUCAUUGGAGAAGAGGAAGGGGAAGGGAAUGGAGAAGAAACCCGCACGGGACAAAUGCUACUUUCUCCUUUCGUCCAGCUAACAAAAAAGGACGGGACAAAACAAGCCAGCUGGCACCAGGCCACAAAGACAGGCACGCGGAGACAUCAAAAUUACAGAACACCUGUGACCAAAUAUCCAAGCAACAUAGAACGGUGCACAUAAAUACAAAAAUAGUCAAUAAAAUUCAGAUAAUACCUUCUUGUUUCAAAUGAAACUUGAUAUGUUCUUACUCCUAAGUUGGUUAGCUGCUGGAACAACAAAACAAAGACAAAAAAAACUUUGCCAUCCCUUACUGAUUGUGAUCUCAAAUUUAAACAUAAAAAGGUGCAUACUGGUGCUGCCUCCUUUGAUAUUAAGAGUGCAGCAAUUGCAAAUGAUAGUUACUCCAGUGUAAUUGCAACUAGAAACUAACAGAAAGGUAGCAAAAGAACUUUAAUUAUCAAUUGCAAACUUGUAGGCUUGGGAUUGCAGAAGAUAAGGUGCGUAAUUAGAAUUCCAAGUAUGUCUCAGAAAAGAUGGUCCCUGUUCCAAAUUGAGUUCGGCAAUCGGGAAUUUACAAAAAAAAAAAACUAAAAGUGUUAUGUCUAGUCGAAAUCCAGUUUUGCAAAUUACAAACAGAGAAUGCAUAGUCCCAGUGUUUAGAAAGUUUAGAAAGAAUGAUAAUUGGCAACUUAAACUAAAUGAAAAUAACACAGAUUCAAAUAAACCCGAAUUAAUUGUUUGGGAUUGCAAUGUUUAUCAAAUGCAAUUGGGUUUGAUAAGACAGCAAACUGCACAAAAAUAGAGGUACAUAUAUGUGAAAAUUCAAGGUGAAACGGGUGCAAUUGCAUUUUAAAAAUAUGCUGAAAUACACAUAUAAAGGUACAUGCAAAUUCAACAUAAAUUCACAGUGUAUGAAGCAAAAUCAAGUAUGUAACAGGUGCGAUUCCGUUUGUCUGUGCGUGUGACAAGACCCUAGAUUGCAUAUAUUAAUCUACAUGCAAUUCGGUAAAAAAAGAACAAAACAACGAAAAAAGGACACGACAAGACCCCUGGUUCACGUUCUGUUCGGUAAAUUAAAUCCCCCCUUGCAGGAACCUGCUUCUCUGCCUGGAGAUUACUCGUACAUAAAAAAAGUGGAUUAAUUAAGACUUGACUUGAGAGUCUUAUAGAAGCAGGAGGCUGCAUAUCCGAGUAUGACAAGAGCUGCAAAAAAUCAGAAGGUUGCGAAGGGGCACAAUACAGAGGGCCAGAAAUUCCAAUGACCUUGAUAAUAAAAAUAGCAUUCCUAUAUGCAUCAGAGAGUAGACAGAGCAGGGAAAAAGUAUAGGUACCUCUUCAAAUGAUCAUUCGAAUUAGUGUCUGGAUUAACAAGGCAUUAUGAUCUCAGAUACACUGUAUGACAGAACUGCAGAAAAUGGCGUCAGGGGACACAUCAUAAAAGAUGAACAAAUCGAACAAAACAUCACACACAGCGUGAGGAUAGGCAAAAUCCCUGAGCAAGCAACAACUCUCCAUCCGAGAGACCACAACCAACAUGCAAAAAUAACUCCAGUUGAAGGCUAAUUUCAGACUCAGCCAAUCCAAAAAUCACUACAGCAGUAAGGAUUUUGUUGUGUUGAACAUGCAAAACACUAGGUUGUCUGCAUGGUAGGGGGGCUACAACUAAUGUUUCUUACAACUAACAUUGCAAAACAGUGCUUAUGGCAUCAGGGGACAAAAUGAAAGCAUCAAUAAAACCAAAUCAUCAUCAUACAGAUCGCAUAUCCGUGCCCUCAACAUAUACAACAUAAGCUAAGAAAAAACAGCAUCUCCCUGUGAAAUUGCAGGCUAUUUCGUACUAAAUCAACCAAAAAUCACUACAGCACGCGUGUCUGGCUCCUCCAGCCAAAUCCGGGAGAAAUAGAACCGAGAAACUAACAUCUACCAGAGAGCAAAACCAAAUCCACGGACAAGGAUGCACACUUCUGUUCCUCUCUUCGCCUAUAAAAAUUGAACAAAAAGCAUCAGCCAACAAAUCACCACCCAAUCACCACAGCUAUGGGGCUGCGGCAAAAAUCAGCACCAAAAGGGGUAUCAGCAACCACCAGCGCGCAAGCAUGAAACGCCGACGAGCAAAAAUACCGCCCAAACAAGCCGACGAGAGAAUCACACCACGUCUACCCCUAACUGCAAUCGACUGCAGUACGCAACCCCCUCACACAAAAAUGGCCGUCCGGAAAACCCAAGCAGCAAGAGCACGAGGCGCAAUAGGCUGACCAAAAGCUCCCCGCGCGGACAGGCCAAAUCUCGCCUCCGACGAGACCAGAUCGAACCCCAACACGCCCAUUUCACUGCUCCAGUUCGCAAAAAAGCAACAGGACGCAUGGAUGCGGCUAAACAGAGGCGGAGCAGCUCGGAUAGAGAGGGCAGAGAUGAAGUUAGAGCUCACCCCGGCGGCAGCGGCGCGAGCGAACCAUCAGCCGGCGACGAGGAAGACGAAAUCGCCUCCAGCCCCCUCCCCCACCUUUUCUCCCUCGAGGAACCGGACAGCAGGUCGGAGCCUGGGAGAGAAAGAACGAAAAGAAAAGAGAAGACCAGAAACACGGAUCGCAAAGCAAUCGAACGGCCAGCGUCAUCGCCUGCUUUCAAACCAAAAAACAGUCGCC